rnacentral:rRNA from 1 species
CAGCAGCCGCGGGAAUACGAAGGGUGCAAGCGUUAAUCGGAAUUACUGGGCGUAAAGCGUGCGUAGGCGGUGAGUUAAGUCUGUUGUGAAAUCCCCGGGCUCAACCUGGGAAUGGCAAUGGAUACUGGCAAGCUAGAGUGUGUCAGAGGAUGGUGGAAUUCCCGGUGUAGCGGUGAAAUGCGUAGAGAUCGGGAGGAACAUCAGUGGCGAAGGCGGCCAUCUGGGACAACACUGACGCUGAGGCACGAAAGCGUGGGGAGCAAACAGGAUUAGAUACCCCUGUAGUCCCUGUCUCUUAUAC